rnacentral:rRNA from 1 species
GACUGGUCGAGUCGGCCUGCGCGGAAGAUGUAACGGGGCUAAACCAUGCACCGAAGCUGCGGCAGCGACACUAUGUGUUGUUGGGUAGGGGAGCGUUCUGUAAGCCUGCGAAGGUGGCCUGUGAGGGCUGCUGGAGGUAUCAGAAGUGCGAAUGCUGACAUAAGUAACGAUAAAGCGGGUGAAAAGCCCGCUCGCCGGAAGAC